UCAAGUCUGAUCUGUCCGUGGGGGAAGUUGGCGCAGAACAACUGCGUGAAAGCAGGAAGUGCAGUCUUAUAGUAGUAAAGAAUACAUGCACAAUAAUCGUAAUGUCACACUAUACCAGACAUUUCGGACAUAUCUGAAAGUGCAGGAGGCGAGUCCUGUGGACAGUGUCAUCGAAAGUGAUUUCAACACAUCGCACUCAGGGCUGCGUGGCAAAUUUGUCUGGAGCCGGUAGGGAGUCCUUUAUCACUCCCUGGAGGCGUUGAUAUGGAAUUCCUUCCCCUCGCAAGAUGAGAGUAGUCGCGUUCUAAGAUGUUCUAGCUUAGAUGUUGUCACGUAGCCAUAAUGUAUACAGUUACAAAAUGUCUCGUCUGAAUCGAUAGAAAUAAACACAAAAGAAAUG